rnacentral:lncRNA from 1 species
GUCCGCAUACACAUUCACGCCCGGGGGCGCGGCCGCCACGUGGGGAGUGGCGCGGGGGUGGUACUGGGACCGCACCCCCCUCUCGUCCUGGCUGCGUGGGCCCCGCUUUCCCCCUGCGCUGAAGACUCUGAGCCCGGCCGGUCCCACCUUCCACGCGAGCUGAAUUCCCUCCCGCAUUCCACCGGGGCGGUGGGAACUGCGGGCUCCGGGAGGCGCUCGGGCUCCGAGCAGCGACUCAGCCCCUCACUCUUCCCUCCGCAGUGCCGCGGCCGCCCAGCCAGGAUUCCCGCGGGUCUCAGCGGCCGCGAGCGCGAGGCGGCGCGGAUUCCCGGCGCGGUACCGGCGCUGCUGCUCACCUCUCUCGCGUCGCCUCCCGCGGCUUCCACCUUGCACCUGGCGUUCCUCUGCGCGCCUGCUGGGCCCAUCUCUGGUUUCCCUUUUCUGCUUCUAGACCCCGCGUCACAACUGCGCAGACCUCUGCGGUCAGGAAAGCGCGUCGGGCGCGGGCAGAGUUGGAUCCGCUCGGGCUUCACGCUUUCACGCUUCGCGCGGGCAUCUCUUCCUCCUCCCGGGCACCGAGGCCAGAGCAGUGUUUCGAGCUAGAGGAUACUAAAGGAGGAAGAGGAGAAGAGGAGGAAGAUGAAGAGACCCUGGCUGGUCCUGAGGAGUGGACACCCUGCCUGGUUGGUUGGGCCCAACUGGGAAGUUCUCUACCAUCUGGUGGAGUUUAGGUCACAUAUGUGGCUGCACUCAUCUGGGAGCUACCUGCAGCUGAAACACUCGAGAUGGCCGCUCGUCCUCCAGAGCUUCUACCCACCUGGGCUCUAACCAUUCAGUCAUCUGGCUUUGGCUUCCUCAUGCUAUGGCAGUUGGGCUCCAAGAAGAGAGAAGUGGAACUGGCCAUUCCCUUUAAGGCUUGGACUUCGCUUCUGUCACACACUGUUGGUCAAAGCAAGUCACAGGCCUAAUGAUUCAAGGGGAGGGGAACUAGGCUGCACCUGUUUCUAGGGACAAAAGGAAGAGGUUGAUGACCAUUGGACACUAUCUAUCUCCCACAGCAUGUGGCAGUAAUUAUACAGGGAGCUCCUGGAGGGCAAGGAUCCAGCUAUAUAUCCACUCUUCCCAAGCCCACACGGUCAGAGAUUUCAGGAUACAGUGUGAACUCCAGCUUCAAUAUUCCUCAUACUGGAAUGUUGGUCUGGGAGAGGGUCGAGAGGUGGUGGAGUCAAGCCCAGGCUGUCGGCUGCCUCUGUUGGGACUCUUUAAUUUCAAGAUAGUGCAUCUAAAUGCUGUCUGGAAGUCUUUUUCUGGGCAUAGGUUAUGCCCCCUGCGGCAUGAUGGGCACAUUUCAUUCAGCCACAUGGUUACACAGAGCCCUGGAU